rnacentral:rRNA from 1 species
GAUGAACGCUGGCGGCGUGCCUAAUACAUGCAAGUCGAGCGAACAGACGAGGAGCUUGCUCCUCUGACGUUAGCGGCGGACGGGUGAGUAACACGUGGAUAACCUACCUAUAAGACUGGGAUAACUUCGGGAAACCGGAGCUAAUACCGGAUAAUAUAUUGAACCGCAUGGUUCAAUAGUGAAAGACGGUUUUGCUGUCACUUAUAGAUGGAUCCGCGCCGCAUUAGCUAGUUGGUAAGGUAACGGCUUACCAAGGCGACGAUGCGUAGCCGACCUGAGAGGGGGAUCGGCCACACUGGAAAUGAGACACGGUCCAGAAUCCGAAGGGAGGGAGCAGUAGGGAAUCUUCCGCAAUGGGCGAAAGCCUGAAGGAGCAAAGCCGCGUGAGUGAUGAAGGUCUUCGGAUCGUAAAACUCUGUUAUUAGGGAAGAACAAAUGUGUAAGUAAAUAUGCACGUUUUGACGGUACCUAAUCAGAAAGCCACGGCUAACUACGUG